rnacentral:rRNA from 1 species
CGGGUGAGUAACACGUGGAUAACCUACCUAUAAGACUGGGAUAACUUCGGGAAACCGGAGCUAAUACCGGAUAAUAUUUUGAACCACAUGGUUCAAAAGUGAAAGACGGUCUUGCUGUCACUUAUAGAUGGAUCCGCGCUGCAUUAGCUAGUUGGUAAGGUAACGGCUUACCAAGGCAACGAUGCAUAGCCGACCUGAGAGGGUGAUCGGCCACACUGGAACUGAGACACGGCCCAG